rnacentral:rRNA from 1 species
AGAGAGAGACAUGCGCGCAUAUCAAUAAGCGGAGGAAAAGAAACUAACAAGGAUUCCCUUAGUAACGGCGAGUGAAGCGGGAAGAGCUCAAAUUUGAAAUCUUCAAGGUUUUACCUUGACGAAUUGUAGUUUAAAGAAGUGUUUUCUGCUGAAGUUUUGGUAAAAGUUCUUUGGAAUAGGACAUCAUAGAGGGUGAGAAUCCCGUAUUUGACCAUUAUUUUCAGCUUUGUGAUACACUUUCAAAGAGUCGGAUUGUUUGGGAAUGCAGUCCAAAAUGGGUGGUAAAUUUCAUCUAAAGCUAAAUAUUGGCGAGAGACCGAUAGCGAACAAGUACCGUGAGGGAAAGAUGAAAAGAACUUUGAAAAGAGAGUUAAACAGUACGUGAAAUUGUCAAAAGGGAAGCGUUUGACACCAGUGUUGUUUUCUCGAAAAUCAAUUAAAAAUGGCUCGAUUUUGUAUUGCUGAGACCUUAAAAGCUCACUGUACAUUUUUCGUGUCUUUUUUAAUGCACUUUUCGUUUAACAAGUCAACAUCAGUUUCUUUUGUUGUAAAAGGGUCAUUGGAAGGUGGCUUUCCUUUUCGGAGAAAGUGUUUAUAGCCUUUGGCCUCUGCAAUCGGAGAGACUGAGGUCUGCAGCGUAGACUCUUCGGGGUUAGAUACAUUUGUGCUAAGUUAUAGCUUUUUAUAGACAACUUGUUGACUAUAAUUAGUCUUGUAGCUUACUCGCUUAUGCUAUUUUACCUACGCUUAGGAUGUUGAAGAUGUAGCACAUCAU